GGUACGGGGGGCAAGCGUUGUUCGGAAUUACUGGGCGUAAAGGGCUCGUAGGCGGCCAACUAAGUCGGAUGUGAAAUCCCCAGGCUCAACUUGGGAACUGCAUCCGAUACUGGAUGGCUUGAAUUCGGGAGAGGGAUGCAGAAUUCCAGGUGUAGCGGUGAAAUGCGUAGAUAUCUGGAGGAACACCGGUGGCGAAGGCGGUUCUCUGGGCCUUACCUGACGCUGAGGAGCGAAAGCGUGGGGAGCGAACAGG
rnacentral:rRNA from 1 species